GGAAGUCGGAGAGACGGCCGCGGGCCUUGCGGCUCGAGGAAAUUCCGGGCUCCACAGGGCAGGGUGCCUGGGUAACGCCCAGGAGGAGCGAUCCUAGGACAGUGCCACAGAGAACAGACCGCCUCGUCGUCCCCGGACGGCGCGGUAAGGGUGAAACGGUGAGGUAAGAGCUCACCGCGCUUCCGGUGACGGAAGCGGCAGGGUAAACCCCCCCGGAGCAAGACCAAAUAGGGGAGGAGAGGUGGCCCGCCUCGCUCGACUCCCGGGUCGGUCGCACGAGGCCGUCGGCAACGGCGGCCCCAGAUACAUGGUCGUCGCCGGGUGCUUCGGCAUCCGGUAACAGAACCCGGAUUACGACCGGCUUCCCUCG
rnacentral:RNase_P_RNA from 1 species